rnacentral:rRNA from 1 species
GCAUAUCAAUAAGCGGAGGAAAAGAAACUAACAAGGAUUCCCUUAGUAACGGCGAGUGAAGCGGGAAGAGCUCAAAUUUUAAAUCUCCGAGGUUUUCCUUGGCGAGUUGUAAUUUGAAGAGAGUGUUUUGACUGUUCGGGUUCAAUCCAAAUCCUUUGGGAUAAGGUAUCAUAGAGGGUGAGAAUCCCGUUUAUGAUUGAAUCUCGAGUGUCGCUUAAUUCACUUUCCAAGAGUCGAGUUGUUUGGGAUUGCAGCUCAAAACGGGUGGUAAAUUUCACCUAAGGCUGAAUAUGUGCAAGAGACCGAUAGCGAACAAGUACCGUGAGGGAAAGAUGAAAAGAACUUUGAAAAGAGAGUUAAAUAGUACGUGAAAUUGUUAAAAGGGAAACGAUUGAAGUCAGUCAUGCUAGUGAGGAAUCAACCGGAUGGUGCGUGGGUUCUCCCUCGUACUUUCCGGUGCACUUUCUCACCCGGCAGGUUAGCAUCAAUUUCGGUUAUCAUAAAAAAUUUGAGAGAAUGUGGCUUUUCUUCGGGAAAGUGUUAUAGAUCUCGAUCUAUGUGGUGACCGGGAUUGAGGAUUGCAGCGGAUACCCUCGUGGCUCGUCACCUGGCUUCUGACGGUUACCCCAGCUUUCGAUAGCUCGCUAACGUUAGUGGGACUCGAUUGUCUAGAUGUCAGAGUGAUUGAUUUUCGCUAAGGAUGCUGACGUAAUGGCUUUAAACGAC